GAUGAACGCUGGCGGCGUGCCUAAUACAUGCAAGUCGAGCGGACGGACGAGAAGCGUGCUUUUCUGAUGUUAGCGGCGGACGGGUGAGUAACACGUGGAUAACCCACCUAUAAGACUGGGAUAACUUCGGGAAACGGGAGCUAAUACCGGAUAAUAUUUUGAACCGCAUGGGGCAGAAGUGAAAGACGGUCUUGCGGUCACCUAUAGAUGGAUCGGCGCUGCAGUAGCUAGUUGGUAAGGUAACGGCUUACCAAGGGAACGAUGCAUAGCCGAGCUGUGAGGGGUAUCGGGCCCGCGGGAGUUAAGGCACGCAUCGGGCCCGAGCGAGAGGCAGGAGUCGGACAUCUGGCGGAAUGGGCGAAAGCCUGACGAAGGGUCGCAGCGUGAGUGAUGAACGUCGUCGGAUCGUAAACCGCUGUUAGGAUGGAAGAAGAUAUCUCUAAGUAACUGUGCUUGUCUGGCGGGAAUCUAUAAAGAAGGCCCCGCUUAAUUCGUG
rnacentral:rRNA from 1 species